rnacentral:lncRNA from 1 species
CCACUGCACUCCAGCCUGGGCAACAGAACGAGACUCUGUCUCAGAAAAAGAAAAAUAUAUAUAUAUAUGUUUAGUAAUUGUUACUAUGUUAGUGAGAUUAUUAUGAGGAAGGCUUGGUUCACCUUUCUACCUUCUGGUCCAAUCACUGGAAACGGCACUGCCUGUGCACUGGGAGACCUGGUUCUAAAUUCCAGACCAGCACUUAUUCUAUGACUUUAGGCAACUUAAGCCAGAUUGCCCACCCAUAACGUGGUUCCUGUCCUACCUGCCUCAUCAGGUUUACUUUGGAAUCCCCUUGGCCGAGAGGAGGAGUCCAUUCAGUCGAUUGGGAGGCCUAGAAUUUUAUUGUUGGCUUCUAUUACCUAUAGAGGAAAAAGGAUAAAAAUUACACUGGACUUCUCUUCAGAAACCAUGUAAGUAAGAAGAGUGUGGAAUGAAAUAAGGAAAGUGUUAAAAGAAAAAACCACCAACCUAGAAUUCUGUAUCCAGCAAAAUUGCCUUCAAACAAUAAAUUUUUUACACACAAAAAAUUUGAGAGAAUUCAUUGACCCUAGUAGAACAUUAAGAAAUGUUAAAAGAAGUUCUGCAGAGAGAAGAAAAAUGAUAUAGAAAAUCAAACUUAUGUAAAGAAAGGAAGAGUGUUUGAGAAGGAAUACAUGAAUGUAGAAUAAUCUAAUAAUCAAAAACUGGAAUCAUCAUAGAAUGUCUUCUACCAAACCAGUGUGUUUAGAAUUGCUGGUUUGGUAGCUAGUUUCUUUCCAUCAUUGUAGCUGUUUUCUAUUGCUACUGACCAAAAAAAAAAAAAAAAAAAAAAAAAAAA